rnacentral:misc_RNA from 3 species
AACGCACCUUGCGCUCCUUGGUAUUCCGAGGAGCAUGCCUGUUUGAGUGUCAUGAAAACCCUCAACCCUAGAUUGGUUAAAACCUUUCUUUGGUUUGGAUUUGGACGUUUGCCGAUGAUAAGUCGGCUCGUCUUAAAAGUAAUAGCUGGAUCUGUCUCGCGACAUGGUUUGACUUGGCGUAAUAAGUAUUUCGCUAAGGACAUCUUCGGAUGGCCGCGUUGCAGGACUAAAGACCGCUUUCUAAUCCAUUGAUCUUACGAUUAAUAUUCUUGACAUCUGGCCUCAAAUCAGGUAGGACUACCCGCUGAACUUAA